rnacentral:rRNA from 1 species
GACGAACGCUGGCGGCGUGCCUAAUACAUGCAAGUUGAGCGAUGAAGCUUGGUGCUUGCACCAAUUUGAAGAGCAGCGAACGGGUGAGUAACGCGUGGGGAAUCUGCCUUUGAGCGGGGGACAACAUUUGGAAACGAAUGCUAAUACCGCAUAACAACUUUAAACAUAAGUUUUAAGUUUGAAAGAUGCAAUUGCAUCACUCAAAGAUGAUCCCGCGUUGUAUUAGCUAGUUGGUGAGGUAAAGGCUCACCAAGGCGAUGAUACAUAGCCGACCUGAGAGGGUGAUCGGCCACAAUUGGAAUGAGACACGGGCCAAACUCCUACGGGAGGCAGCAGGAGGGAAUCUUCGGCAAUGGACGAAAGUCUGAACGAGGAACGCCGCGUGAGUGAAGAAGGUUUUCGGAUCGUAAAACUCUGUUGGUAGAGAAGAACGAUGGUGAGAGUGGAAAGCUCAUCAAGUGACGGUAACUACCCAGAAAGGGACGGCUAACUACGUG